rnacentral:misc_RNA from 1 species
GAUGAAGAACGUAGCGAAAUGCGAUAAGUAAUGUGAAUUGCAGAAUUCAGUGAAUCAUCGAAUCUUUGAACGCACAUUGCGCCCCCUGGUAUUCCGGGGGGCAUGCCUGUUCGAGCGUCAUUUCACCACUCAAGCCUCGCUUGGUAUUGGGCAACGCGGUCCGCCGCGUGCCUCAAAUCGACCGGCUGGGUCUUCUGUCCCCUAAGCGUUGUGGAAACUAUUCGCUAAAGGGUGUUCGGGAGGCUACGCCGUAAAACAACCCCAUUUCUAAGGUUGACCUCGGAUCAGGUAGGGAUACCCGCUGAUCUUAAGCAUAUCAAUAAGCGGAGGA